CGUUAUCUGUAGAAUGACAUUCCUGUCAAAUUAUUUUUAGAGAUGAAAAUAGGCUACAAAGUUCUUUGUAAACAUUAAUGCAAAACUCAACAGAGUAACCUGAAAUCAAAUGUGUGGCUAAACAAGCAUUUAUUUA